CUGGGGCUCGGGGGUGUGUCCUACCUGGGCCGCGGCGGACGCAGGAUCUCCGGCGGAGGACUGGGGUUCAGCUCAGGGUCCGCACCGGCGGGAGUCACUGCUCAGCAGGCUGGCCCGCCGCCGCCUGCCCAUCCCCCGCCGCCCACUGCGGCGGGACCCGAGCGCGGCUUAGACGGCCGGCGGUCCCCUCGGGUGCCGUCCGCGUCUAAAGGCGGCGGCGGCGGCUGCGGGUGUUGCUGCGGGCCUCCCCGGGCCGCUGCUCUCGUGCCAGCCCCUGCACCUCCUCCUGCCGCCGCCGCCGCCGCCUCGUCCCCACCGCUCCCAUAGCCGCUGCGGCGACUACUGCAGCGCCCGCUGACCCGGCCCGACGUUACUCUCCCCCCCGCAAGCCGCACAGCCUAGCCCACCUGCCCUGCCAGCGCGCACCGCCCACCUCUCCGCCGCGGGUGCUGAUUGGAGAGCACGUUCCCAGCCCGUGGCGUCGGUUGGCUAGUCCCAUUGCCUAUCAGGGAGGGGGCGGAGAAAUGGGCCGAGAGCGUCUCCGCCCCCCACCGGAGAAUUGCCGCUAUCUUCAGGUUUGCCUGAGAGGGCGAGUUACCGGGAAAGGAGCAUCACAAUGACAGUGCGCGUGCGCGCGGGAAUUCUGGGACUUGUAGUUCCAGUCUCCGCCGCAACGGCCGGCCUGUCCUGAGUAGAGACAUAGGGCGCAGUGCUUCUGAGAGCGGGCAUGAGUAGGUAUUCUCCUAGUUCAGCGUGCUUGUGGCCACAGAGUUGGGUCCUUUGGAAGAAAAGUGGAAACACUUUGUCACUGAGGCAGUCUCGACGAGAAUCGUGAGGCCGGGUCGUUGUUUAAGGUCUACUACCCUGCUCAGAUCAAAGCCGCCAGGAUCUGAGGAAUGGGCGCUGUCCCCAGAACCUUAACCUAAGCUCCUGGCCAGGGCCGGGAGACCGGUAGGUGUGAGGAGGAAAGAAAGGAGUUGCAAAGACGUCAGCCUGGCGAAGGGAGUACCCCUUCACAACCUACGAAAAAACAAUGCACAACCCUUCGCGUGGACCAGUCUGGGACUCUAAGCUGGAGUUUGCAGGAGUUGCUCAAAGACAUACAAAGACUAACUACGAAGGGUGGAGCAUUGAGACUGUGUGGGAGACAUUUAUAUUUCGUGUUGAAUGGGUGCCAAGCUCUUUGAUGAAAAACAAAACAAAAAGCUAAGAGUAAGUCACCCUCCUGUCUUUACUGGCCAUUGUGUAGACAUUAAAAAUUAAGAGUUAACUUUACCAAGAAUACAAAACGAAUGUCAAAACCAAACGUCGGGUCUGUUUAAAUACCGCAUGUCCAAUGCUCUUUCUCCUUAACCGUUACAAUGAUUGCCACGUGUUUGCGAUGGACAGAAAGGAUGAGAUGAAUUUUAACGCUUUUAAUUAUCUUCUUAAGGGACAGAAAUAUUCUUCCUGUUGAGGAAAUACCAGCCUCUUUAUGUUCUUUUACGAUCAAGAGACAUCUUUACUGCUUGUCAUGUUCAGAUUCUUGGACAAAAAACAGAACAAAAUGUGCAUUCAAAGGCAGUUGAUGAAGUCAUCUUGUUCUAUUCAACAUAAAAAAGUUGCCAAAUUGUUUUGUUUCUACUGCUGAAAGCAGAAAAACGCUUCUUUCCAUUAUUAUAAACGUGCUACCACACCAGGUAGAAUUUUUAAAAAAAUUUAUGUUUACAAAUGGGUUUCAUUGUGAGAUCGUCAUAGUUUUGUUUUUAAGAUGGAAUGUAACCCCUGGGUACCCCAGGAUAACCUCAGACUUCUGAUCUUCCUGCCUCAGCCUUGGGCAUGCUGGAAUUACAGUUUCCAGUUAGCAUCUUGACAACUAACUUGUAAAACAAGCCAAGCCAGAAUCAGCUAGGUAAACCACUCCCCGAAUUCAGCCCCACAAAAUGAACGUGAUACAAUAAAUGUUAAAGGUCCAAUCCCCAGCACCAAAAAAUAAAUGUUUGCUAUUGCCUUCAAUACUGAUUGGCUGUGUGGUGAUGGAUAACUAAUAAAGGAAGAUCUGGGAAAAUACAGAUGAAUGACUCAAGUCUGAGGGUGCCCUGGGAUAUGUAAAGGAACAAACCCUGGAUUUGUGAAGAAUCUUACAAACUAUUCUAGAAUAGUAAAAUUCAGUUUUAUACCGGGAAGUCUCCGUACAAGACAUAAUGAACCUUACAAUAGUUUUUUUCCCCUUUGUUCUAGCAUGACAUAAAUAAUACACUAAAUGAUCUUUUCUUCUCCUGUCCUUCCAUGUGUGAGCUACUCUACCACAUCUAGGUAUCAUUUUGUAAAGCUCCCCUGAUCUCCACAGGAAAUGACCUAGGUGGCUCUUUUAUAGCAUGUGGUUACCAAGACAACAUUACAGAACGUUUUGUUUGUUUGUUGUGCCCUAGCAGGGCAAGCACACUGCUCCAGAACCACAUCCCCAGCCCCAACACCACAGUAGGGAUCAGUGUGAAGAUCAAGGAAAGGAGAUACUUGCCAUUCUUUCCUCCUUUUUCUUUAAAAAUUUCCCCUGGGCUAGAGAUGAAGAAUAUGUUGAUUUCAGUCCCCUGCGACUGCGAUGGUUAAUAUCAGUUGUCAACUUGACAGGGUCUAGAAUCACCAGGGGCAAACUCUUUGCUUGUCUAUGAGAGAUUAUCUAGAUCAGAUACAUGGUGACCAGACUUCUCAAGCUCCACAGCUGUCCCUCCACAAAGGACUGGACCUUCGAACUAUGAACCAAAAUAAACCUUUCCUUACACUACUUUCUGUCAGGGAGUUUGUCAGCUCAGCAAGAGAAGUAACUGAUGCAGCACAGAAAAGCAAAAACUGAGUCUCCGGGGGCUAAACACGGAGCUCUCUGGUAGAGCACCGGGUUAUCAUGGACAAUGUUUUGAGUUCAAUCCUGGGGUCAAAAAAGAGCAAAAAUAAAGCCUCUCAGCCUCAGAAUUGCACACUCAUAAGUGUGCACUAAUUCGAUCUCAUUACAGCUGUCAAGCUGUUUUUCAAACUGAAUACACAGUGCUCUGAAACAUGAAA